rnacentral:rRNA from 1 species
UACGGAGGGUGCAAGCGUUAUCCGGAAUCACUGGGUUUAAAGGGUGCGUAGGCGGUUCCGUAAGUCAGUCGUGAAAUUUCUUGGCUUAACCAGAGAGACUGCGAUUGGUACUGUGUAACUUGAAUAGAGUUGAGGUAUGCGGAAUGUGACAUGUAGCGGUGAAAUGCAUAGAUAUGUCAUAGAACACCGAUUGCGAAGGCAGCAUGCUGGGCUUUAAUUGACGCUGAGGCACGCAAGCGUGGUGAGUAAACACG